CAACUUCUGAAAGACCUUCAGGAUGAGAGUGGAAGAGCCGAGACCCUCAGUGAGCUGCUGGCAUCAAUACGCAGACAAGGUGUCAGAUCUGAGAGCCUCCUGAAGGACGCUGAUAACUUGAUACAGCGCUACAGAAAACUGGAGGGCAGGAUGCUGAAUCAGGCUGAGGCCCAGAGUGUGUUGGAUGGAGAAUACAAUGUGUUUAAUACUCAGGCAGAGAGCACCAGGACCUGGAUCAGUGACCUAUCACAGCCUCUCACCACUCCAGACAGAGACACCAACAUGGAGGAGAUGAAGUCCAAAGCACAAGCUAUCCUUAGCUGCAAACCUGAGGGAGACUUUAAAGUGAGCAGCCUGAGACAACAAAGCGAAAGUCUGUGUGAGAAGGAAGGCCUGGACGAGUCCAGGAAACAAAGUGUCCAGCUGUUAGUUAGAGACACAGAGAAACAGUGGACGACAGCCGUGCAGGCUGCUCAGGAGGCUCUCAGAAAGGCAGAGACACAAGCCAUUUUAGAAAAAAACGUUGAAGCUUUCCAAACCCACAAUGAAAGUGUCCAGUCCUGGAUCAGAGACCAGGACCAGAACCUCAAGUCUAUCGGUGGUCACGCGCAAGCUGAAGAAAAGCUACAGGCUGCAC
ensembl:lncRNA